UUUAAAAUAAUCAGAUUUGACAACCACCCAAUUAAUUAAGUACUUUUGUCAUGGUUAAAUGUGAUAAAGAAAUAGUCUGCUGUGGCUUAUGACUUGGGGCAAGAAUUAGUCAACAAUGGAAACGGGAUGAUCACGCUUCUAAGUAUCUAUGUUUGUUUAUAAAUACACCUUCAAGUAAUAUAACUUCUCAUCCCUCAAACUUACAAUUGAAUACAUAAAGCUUUUUUUUGUUGAUGUUAGUAAUGGCAUCUCUCUACGGUGCCUUUAAAUUGAAGUCAUUUUUUGCUCUUUUAGCAAUACUUUUAUUUCUCAUGUCCUCUAUCAUGGGUAGUGCUGCUGUACAAUCCAAUUUCAAACAAGGGCGAAAACUUUUCCAAGACCCGCCUGCUACUUAUGAUCCAUAUCCAGGUGGUGGAGGAUAUCCUUAACAAUGAAAUUAUUAGCAAUGGAUGCAAAAAUAAACACUCUCUCAACUGCUCCUGUGGCUAAACUGGAGCUUUUGAUAUAUUUCUAAUUAAGGAUUUAUACAAAUAAAUUAUGUGUAUCUUAGUAUUUGGUAGUACUAGAAUAAUAUGGCAUGUCCAAUUUCAACGCAACCGUAUGUAAUAUCAUCCACAGAAGUAACGGCUAGAGCUUUCUUAUAAUAAAUAAAAACAAUUAAUGUCUAGAGAUGUUUUGCAGCA